GUCGGAUUAGCUAGUUGGUGAGGUAAAGGCUUACCAAGGCAACGAUCCGUAGCUGGUCUGAGAGGACGAUCAGCCACACUGGAACUGAGACACGGUCCAGACUCCUACGGGAGGCAGCAGUGGGGAAUUUUGGACAAUGGGCGCAAGCCUGAUCCAGCCAUGCCGCGUGAGUGAAGAAGGCCUUCGGGUUGUAAAGCUCUUUCGGCGGGGACGAAACGGUUCGCACUAACACUGCGGACUACUGACGGUACCCGCAUAAGAAGCACCGGCUAACUACGUGCCAGCAGCCGCGGUAAUACGUAGGGUGCAGGCGUUAAUCGGAAUUACUGGGCGUAAAGCGUGCGCAGGCGGUCUGUUAAAGACAGGUGUGAAAUCCCCGAGCUCAACUUGGGAAUUGCGCUUGUAACUGGCAGGCUAGAGUGUGGCAGAGGGGGGUGGAAUUCCACGUGUAGCAGUGAAAUGCGUAGAUAUGUGGAGGAACACCGAUGGCGAAGGCAGCCCCCUGG
rnacentral:rRNA from 1 species